UCGAGAAUAUUCGACAAUGGGCGAAAGCCUGAUCGAGCGACGCCGCGUGCAGGAAGAAGGCCUUCGGGUCGUAAACUGCUUUUGCGUGGGAAGAAUUUUGACGGUACCACGAGAAUAAGGGGUUGCUAACUCUGUGCCAGCAGCAGCGGUAAUACAGAGACCCCGAGCGUUAUCCGGAAUUACUGGGCGUAAAGGGCAAGUAGUCGGUGAUGAUAGUCUGAUGUUAAAUCUCACUGCCCAACGGUGAGGCCGCAUGAGAAACGUCAUCACUCGAGCGAGUCAGAGGCACACGGAACGUGCGGUGUAGCGGUGAAAUGCAUUGAUAUCGCACGGAACACCAAACGCGAAGGCAGUGUGCUGGGGCUUUGCUGACGAUCAAUUGCGAAAGCGUGGGGAUCAAAAAGG
rnacentral:rRNA from 1 species